rnacentral:rRNA from 1 species
GAGGAUGAACGGCCACACUGGAACUGAGACACGGUCCAGACUCCUACGGGAGGCAGCAGUGGGGAAUCUUCCGCAAUGGGCGAAAGCCUGACGGAGCAACGCCGCGUGAGUGAUGACGGCCUUCGGGGUGUAAAGCUCUGUGAUCGGGGACGAACGGUCCGUAAGUCAAUACCUUAUGGAAGUGACGGUACCCGAAUAGCAAGCCACGGCUAACUACGUGCCAGCAGCCGCGGUAAUACGUAGGGUGCAAGCGUUAUCCGGAAUUAUUGGGCGUAAAGGGCUCGUAGGCGGUUCGUCGCGUCCGGUGUGAAAGUCCAUCGCUUAACGGUGGAUCCGCGCCGGGUACGGGCGGGCUUGAGUGCGGUAGGGGAGACUGGAAUUCCCGGUGUAACGGUGGAAUGUGUAGAUAUCGGGAAGAACACCAAUGGCGAAGGCAGGUCUCUGGGCCGUCACUGACGCUGAGGAGCGAAAGCGUGGGGAGCGAACAGGAUUAGAUACCCUGGUAGUCCACGCCGUAAACGGUGGAUGCUGGAUGUGGGGACCAUUCCACGGUCUCCGUGUCGGAGCCAACGCGUUAAGCAUCCCGCCUGGGGAGUACGGCCGCAAGGCUAAAACUCAAAGAAAUUGACGGGGGCCCGCACAAGCGGCGGAGCAUGCGGAUUAAUUCGAUGCAACGCGAAGAACCUUACCUGGGCUUGACAUGUUCCCGACAGCCCCAGAGAUGGGGCCUCCCUUCGGGGCGGGUUCACAGGUGGUGCAUGGUCGUCGUCAGCUCGUGUCGUGAGACGUUGGGUUAAGUCCCGCAACGAGCGCAACCCUCGCCCUGUGUUGCCAGCACGUCGUGGUGGGAACUCACGGGGGACCGCCGGGGUCAACUCGGAGGAAGGUGGGGAUGACGUCAGAUCAUCAUGCCCCUUACGUCCAGGGCUUCACGCAUGCUACAAUGGCCGGUACAACGGGAUGCGACACCGCGAGGUGGAGCGGAUCCCUUAAAACCGGUCUCAGUUCGGAUUGGAGUCUGCAACCCGACUCCAUGAAGGCGGAGUCGCUAGUAAUCGCGGAUCAGCAACGCCGCGGUGAAUGCGUUCCCGGGCCUUGUACACACCGCCCGUCAAGUCAUGAAAGUGGGUAGCACCCGAAGCCGGUGGCCCAACCUUUUGGGGGGAGCCGUCUAAGGUGAGACUCGUGAUUGGGACUAAGUCGUAACAAGGUA